rnacentral:rRNA from 1 species
GAUGAACGCUGGCGGCGUGCCUAAUACAUGCAAGUCGAGCGAACAGAUGAGGAGCUUGCUCCUCUGACGUUAGCGGCGGACGGGUGAGUAACACGUGGAUAACCUACCUAUAAGACUGGGAUAACUUCGGGAAACCGGAGCUAAUACCGGAUAAUAUAUUGAACCGCAUGGUUCGAUAGUGAAAGACGGUUUUGCUGUCACUUAUAGAUGGAUCCGCGCCGCAUAGCUAGUUGGUAAGGUAACGGCUUACCAAGGCAACGAUGCGUAGCCGACCUGAGAGGGUGAUCGGCCACACUGGAACUGAGACACGGUCCAGACUCCUACGGGAGGCAGCAGUAGGGAAUCUUCCGCAAUGGGCGAAAGCCUGACGGAGCAACGCCGCGUGAGUGAUGAAGGUCUUCGGAUCGUAAAACUCUGUUAUUAGGGAAGAACAAAUGUGUAAGUAACUAUGCACGUCUUGACGGUACCUAAUCAGAAAGCCACGGCUAACUACGUG